GUCUUUUUGAGUUAUUUUUAAAGUCUAACCUGCCCACUGAAUAUAUUUUUAAAUGGCCGCAGUAUUCUAACUGUGCAAAGGUAGCAUAAUCAUUAGUCUUUUAAUUGAAGGCUGGAAUGAAUGGUUGGACGAAGUAUAAGCUGUUUCAUAUAAAAUUAUAUUAGAAUUUUAUUUUUUAGUAAAAAAGCUAAAAUUUUAUUAAAAGACGAGAAGACCCUAUAAAUCUUUUUAUUUAAUUUUAUUAAAAUUUUUUUGAUUUAUUUUAUUUUUAUAUUUUUAAAUAUUUUGUUGGGGUGAUGUUAAAAUUUAAAAAACUUUUAAUAAAUAAAAAAAUCAUUAAUUUAUGAGUUAUUGAUCCAUUAUUAGUGAUUAAAAAAUUAAGUUACUUUAGGGAUAACAGCGUAAUUUUUUUUGAGAGUUCAUAUCGACAAAAAAGUUUGCGACCUCGAUGUUGGAUUAAGAUAAAUUUUUAGGUGUAGCCGUUUAAAUAUAAAGUCUGUUCGACUUUUAAAUUCUU
rnacentral:rRNA from 1 species